rnacentral:lncRNA from 10 species
CUGAAUUCUCAACUCCGUCUCCUCAGCGCAGGAAGACCUUCAGACUCCCAGCACGGUGGCCAGGAAACACUCUGCAAGCAAAAUUGCCACAAUCACUCAGCCUUCAACAGCUACCACCCUGAUAAGUCAGCAGCCAGCAUCGUGGAAGCAGGACCCUCUACCAGCAAAAAGAUUAUGACUCACUGCAGGCUCGGAGGAUUGUUACUGUCUUUUUUUUUUUUUUUUUUAGCAAUGAAGAAACCUCUAAUGUCACGAAAUACACCAAUGGGUCCACUCUCUGCUAGAUGGAAUCUACUUAAAAUGCACCACAUGGAGCAAAAAUCUGCCGUUCUAAAGCAACGCUUUAUGUAGUUCCUGGCUUGGACACAUAUGACCAGGUGGAAAUGACCAGCAAAAAUAUAUGGUUAAGUUAGAGUUGGGGAAGCACUGUUUUUUUUUCCUAACUGUAGUUUUUAAUAUCUUUUUUCCUGUUUUAUGAAAAGACAAUGACGUUAUCAAAAAGUAAAUGCAAAAAACAUGGGAGAGGAGCAGAAAAGAUAUCUAUUGGGUACAGAGCUUAAUACCUGGGUGAUGAAAUAAUAUGUACAACAAACCCCCAUGACACACGUUUACCUCCGUAACAAACCUUCAUGUGUACCCCCAAACCUAAAAUAAAAAUUUAAGAAAGAA